rnacentral:rRNA from 1 species
GACGAACGCUGGCGGCGUGCUUAACACAUGCAAGUCGAACGAUGAAGCCUGCUUGCUGGUGGAUUAGUGGCGAACGGGUGAGUAACACGUGGGUGAUCUGCCCCAAACUUUGGGAUAAGCCUGGGAAACUGGGUCUAAUACCGAAUAUGACCGAUACUCGCAUGGGUGUUGGUGGAAAGCUCCGGCGGUUUGGGAUGGGCCCGCGGCCUAUCAGCUUGUUGGUGGGGUAAUGGCCUACCAAGGCGACGACGGGUAGCCGGCCUGAGAGGGCGACCGGCCACACUGGGACUGAGACACGGCCCAGACUCCUACGGGAGGCAGCAGUGGGGAAUAUUGCACAAUGGGCGCAAGCCUGAUGCAGCGACGCCGCGUGAGGGAUGACGGCCUUCGGGUUGUAAACCUCUUUCACCAGGGACGAAGCGAAAGUGACGGUACCUGGAGAAGAAGCACCGGCCAACUACGUG